ACCGUUGAGAUCAUGACCUGAGCCGAAAUCAAGAGUCGGACACUUAACGGACUGAGCCACCCAGGCGCCCCUGGCACGAAGGUUAUUUUGAGCCGAUGGCAAUUGAGACCCUGAGGCCUUGAGAGAAAUAUUUGCCCCUCCCUAACUACAUAGAAGCAUGUAAAUUGGGGUCUUUCCCAGAAGCAGGGCUAUUAUCGGAGACACAUUUUAUCUGAGUGACCCAUCUAUAUGGCAGGAGAGACAUCUAAUUACCAAACAUCUCCUCUCAUCGCCCUGUGAGGUGCAUUUCUUUCCUCCGAAGUCCCUGCCCCUUGCCCCCUUCUCUUUAGCUCAGAACGAUGUGCGUAUCUCAUCGUGCCCGACUGUCUCUGGAAUCUCCGUGUCUGUGUGGAUUCCCCGUACGCACUCUCUUAAAUUUUAUCUUCUCCCAUUAA